CAAUAUAAUUCGCGUUGAAUCAUACAAAACUUCUGCAAAAAUGAAACUAAUACUUAUUGCAUCAAUAAUAUCACUAUUUGUGUUCAUAAAAAUACAUUCCGGGACUUGUCAGUCUACUACUGUUAGUUCUGCCGACACUACAGCAUCGCCGCCUGAAACAACACCAACACCAGAAGAAAAAUAUUGCAUUCAAUGUUUUGCAUAUCUAUCAAAAGAAUAUUGCGCAUCAAUUGGAAAAAUGCAAAUCGAGGAGACGUGUCAUAGAUGUUCUGCAUGCAUUGCCAAAGAAGCAAAGAAAAGAUAAUCAACUAAUUGAAUAAAUGGCUCUCAUGUUAAUCAAGAAUGUAACUGAUAUUAAAUUUUCACUAGAAAUUAUCGCUUGGUAUUAUAUACUGAUUAAUAUAUGUUUAUGUUUUUAAUCAUGUAACAAAA